UACGAAGGGGGCUAGCGUUGCUCGGAAUUACUGGGCGUAAAGGGAGCGUAGGCGGACAGUUUAGUCAGAGGUGAAAGCCCAGGGCUCAACCCUGGAAUUGCCUUUGAUACUGACUGUCUUGAGUGUGGGAGAGGUGUGUGGAACUCCGAGUGUAGAGGUGAAAUUCGUAGAUAUUCGGAAGAACACCAGUGGCGAAGGCGACACACUGGCCCGAUUACUGACG
rnacentral:rRNA from 1 species